rnacentral:rRNA from 1 species
AGCGAACAGACGAGGAGCUUGCUCCUCUGACGUUAGCGGCGGACGGGUGAGUAACACGUGGAUAACCUACCUAUAAGACUGGGAUAACUUCGGGAAACCGGAGCUAAUACCGGAUAAUAUAUUGAACCGCAUGGUUCAAUAGUGAAAGACGGUUUUGCUGUCACUUAUAGAUGGAUCCGCGCCGCAUUAGCUAGUUGGUAAGGUAACGGCUUACCAAGGCAACGAUGCGUAGCCGACCUGAGAGGGUGAUCGGCCACACUGGAACUGAGACACGGUCCAGACUCCUACGGGAGGCAGCAGUAGGGAAUCUUCCGCAAUGGGCGAAAGCCUGACGGAGCAACGCCGCGUGAGUGAUGAAGGUCUUCGGAUCGUAAAACUCUGUUAUUAGGGAAGAACAAAUGUGUAAGUAACUAUGCUCGUCUUGACGGUACCUAAUCAGAAAGCCACGGCUAACUACGUGCCAGCAGCCGCGGUAAUACGUAGGUGGCAAGCGUUAUCCGGAAUUAUUGGGCGUAAAGCGCGCGUAGGCGGUUUUUUAAGUCUGAUGUGAAAGCCCACGGCUCAACCGUGGAGGGUCAUUGGAAACUGGAAAACUUGAGUGCAGAAGGGGAAAGUGGAAUUCCAUGUGUAGCGGUGAAAUGCGGCAGAGAUAUGGAGGACACCAGUGGCGAAGGCGACUUUCUGGUCUGUAACUGACGCUGAUGUGCGAAAGCGUGGGGAUCAAACAGGAUU